UACGUAGGGUGCAAGCGUUGUCCGGAAUUAUUGGGCGUAAAGAGCUCGUAGGCGGUUUGUCGCGUCUGCUGUGAAAACCCGAGGCUCAACCUCGGGCCUGCAGUGGGUACGGGCAGACUAGAGUGCGGUAGGGGGAGAUUGGAAUUCCUGGUGUAGCGGUGAAAUGCGCAGAUAUCAGGAGGAACACCGAUGGCGAAGGCAGGUCUCUGGGCAUUAACUGACGCUGAGGAGCGAAAGCAUGGGGAGCGAACAGG
rnacentral:rRNA from 1 species